AUACGGAGGGUGCAAGCGUUAUUCGGAAUCACUGGGCGUAAAGGACACGUAGGCGGGAAGCCAAGUCUGAUGUGAAAUCCUACAGCUUAACUGUAGAACUGCAUUGGAAACUGGGUACCUAGAGUAUGGGAGGGGGAGAUGGAAUUAGUGGUGUAGGGGUAAAAUCCGUAGAUAUCACUAGGAAUACCUAAAGCGAAGGCGAUCUCCUGGAACAUUACUGACGCUAAGGUGUGAAAGCGUGGGGAGCAAACGGGAUUAGAUACCCUUGUAGUCC
rnacentral:rRNA from 1 species